ensembl:lncRNA
GUGGGAAAGUUACAAAUAAGGGGGCGGGAGGGGGGUCUUCCUUUAAAUUUUUUUCUCAGUCUGUGUCUCUUUUAAGCCCCACAGAAUGGAAAUGGCCUAUAAUAAGAAAUUAAGCCAGGGCGGGAGUCCCAUGAUCCGUGUGUUUUUAAAUGCGUCUCUCUGGAUCGCCGGCCCUUCCCGCAGCCCACAGGGUCCGGCGGCGGUGGUGGUGACAGGCUCGGGACGGGGGACUGCCCGACAGAUGGAGAGCAGCGGGGACAGAAGGAAAUGCAGGACGGGGCUGUGGCUCUGCGAGAGCUUGCCUGGCCUGAGGAGGCCCCAGGUUCCAUCUCCAGCAACAUGAAAGAGGAGAAAGGGGCCGGGGAUUCAGCUCAGUGGUUCUGCCGCCUGCCUCGAAAGCGCAAGGUCCCGAGUUCGAUCCCCGGUACCAAAAAAAAAAAAAAAGAAAGAGAAAGAAAAUAAAAGGAAGAAAAGAAACUCCAGCGAUCACCGGUUUGGGGGGACUUUAGCUGAACCCGGCUGGCCGGCGCACAUUGCGUCAUUGUUGCUGUGUCCCCACCACAGCCCUAUCCGCGGCACUAUCAGGGUCCCCAGAUCAUCUGCCUGCGUGGCACUGCAAGCCCCAGCACAGCAGGGCCCAGAUUUGACCCAGUUUUGACCCUCCCCAGAGCCUGAAAUCUUAGCCACCACAUCGUCAACAUCAUUAUCACAGUUACCAGUGUGAACAAAACAUAUAGUCAAUACUUAAAUCUUUUAAAAAGAUUAAUUACAGUAUAAAACUCAUUGCCAUGAAUGCUCCUCAAAACACUCCCCCUGGCUUUGAACACACUUAUCCUACUGUUCUUGCCACUUUCUUUCUUUUUUUUUUUUUUUUUUUUUUUUUUUUGGUACCGGGGAUGGAACUUGGGACCUUGCACUUGCGAUGCAGGUGCCAGAACCACUGAGCUAAAUCCCCGGCCCACUUGCCACUUUCUGAAGCAGUUCUGGAAGUCCUUUUUCUUAAUUUUGGGGGGUUUUUUUUGGUACCAGGGAUCGAAUUCGGGACCUUCCGCUUUUGAGGCAGACAGCAGCACAACUGAGCUAAAUCCCUGGCCCUUGGAAGUCCUUUUUCUUGAUUGUCUGUCUGUACAAGGUGUGAUCAAAAAUACGGCAAAUGCAGCUGCCAAGUGCCAUCUGACAGAAGGCAGGCUUGUAACAACAUGACAGUGUGUCCUCCUCUACUUUAUUCACCUGAUCUGGCACCCUGCAACUUCUCUCUCUUCCCCAAAAUCAAAGUGACUGUGACAAGUAAACAUUUUGAAUAAAUUCAGGAUAUCCAGGCAGCCACAAGAGCACAUCGAAAGACACUCAUAAAAAAGGAUCUGCAGAAUUUCAGAAAGUGGCAAGAGCAAGGAUAACCUUUUGAAGAGAGGGAGAGUAUUUUGAAGGGGAUUAAUGGCACUGUCUUUUACUGAAAUUAAAAAAAAAAAUUUAAGGUUUUUGAUACAGGGUCUUGCUAUAUAUUCCAGACUAGCUUUUCUUUGGUGGGGGAGGGGUAACAGGAAUCAAACUCAGAACUUUGCAUUUGCCAAACAGACAUGGAUGGCACUGCUGAGCUACAUCCCCGGCCCACAGACUAGCCUUGAACUCACUAUGUAGCCAAGGAUGGCCUCCAACUCACAGCAAUCCUCCUGCCUCAGCCUCCUGAGUACUGGGAUUUCAG